rnacentral:lncRNA from 1 species
GGAUAGACAUGCCAUCAAUCAAUUUGGUGGGUGUGUAUGGUCCAUUUACUAUGACACCCCACAUGUCAUAGUCAAGUACUUGAAUAAAAAUUCUCAUCCGAGCUUUUCAAUUGGUGUAGUUUGACCCAUUGAAAAGUGAAGGUCGGUUUGUGGAUUGUCCCUCAGAUAGGGAUGUGCCAAAUUGGGCUGCCAUGGAUUUUUAGCUCAUGAUGGUUAAAUCAA